CUGUCUACCUCCAAGAAAUUAGCUGCCUAGUUACCAGAAAUCCAAGCCAUCCUGAGAAAAGAAGAUUCUCUCACAGUAGGGGGAAUUCAGUCCAAUUCACAUGGUGCAGGAGAUUAAUUGAGUCAGUGAGCAAAAGCCACUUGCAAGAGACCAAUCGUCAUUGCACAGAAGAUUUCCAGAAUCAUCUCUUUCAGGGUUCAAUGUUGCUCACACUCAAGUCAUGGAGUGCAUCACUUUUAAGUGGGAAUAGGAUCCUACUCUUGAACAAGAGUAGUGGGUGCUCAGGCAGACUGUCCAAAGGGUAUAUAGAAUUUCUGCACCUGAAGGCAAGGAGUAAAAAGCUCUCGACCCAAGGUUUAAGAAUCUGAAGUGCCUUCCACAAUCUGAGAGGGA